UUAACGCUCGUGGUUUAUUCUUCGACUUUUGACUUCGACUUCGAAUUGGUAUUUUUGUUAAAGUGGGUAUUGACUACUGUUAAGUUAAGUACACGUGUUUGUUUGAAAUGUUAAUUUUGCUUAAAAAAUUUUUCAAAUGGGUUUGAAAUAAUUUUAAAUUACCUGCUGGUUUCCUAUAAAUAGUAUUGAUAAUAAUAUUUUUGGUCGCUUUAUUAUUUAUUUCAAUGCAUAACAACUCGCAAUUAAAUUUUUCCGUCAUUUUAACACUUCAUCAUAUCCUUUGUUUUUACAGGUAAAGAAAUCUGAGCUACUAAGAUUGUUAAAUGUACCACUUAGCUUUCUGUUAACUUGAACAAAUUCCGAAAGAUUAGGAAUAAUUUCAUUAACUUGAACAACUUCAGAAAGAUUAGGAAUAGUAGCAUUGAUGUUAUUUAAAAAAUAUAUUUAAGAUUCUUUCUGGAAGCAAAAGAAUUUAUAUUAGAACUUACAUUCUGGCUUACCCAAUAUAACACUAAUUCUGAUCUUCAUGGAAUCCUUUAAAAGUAUACAUGUUACUUCCCUUGUUACUUUUACAAAGCAAACACGAAAUAGCAAAGCAAAAGAGCAUCAUGCCAAACUACAAAACCGUUUAAUUAUAAUGGAGAAAUUAUUUAGAUAUGAUUGUAUGGAAGUCAAAAUUAUUUUAGCUGUGAAUAAGAUGAGAUUUAAAGACAUUAAAGGCGAUCCACAGGGAUUUGUAAAUUUUUUAGAUAACAACAAGUUGCCAUGAGGUAUUAUUCCUAGGUAUCGAGGGAACUGUCUUUAUAUUCUGUUCCACACUUGUUUCAUUUUUGUAAAACUAUGAUAAGUUUAUGAAGUUUUUGACAAUUCGUGCAGUAAAACGAAAAACAUUACAAAAAUUUCUGCGGGAAGCAUUUUGUAAUACAACUGCUAUAAAACAAGUGUGUGUGCUUGCAUUAUUUGGAAAAAUUUUAACAGGGCCCGGAUGACAAUGUUUUGUGUACCAUCUGAAAAAGCAAAAUUUGAUUGUGUUGGUGGUAUUGCAAUAAUUAAAAAACUUGUGCAAACAGUCGAAGAUUGCAAAUGUGAUCCAGCAGCACUGUUUUGCAGAACAACAGACUUUUUUGGAAAUACUCUCCUUCCAAAUAUUUUAGAACCAAUAACAAAAAUAUGUGCAAUUGAUGCUCAGGUUAUUGCUAUGACUAAAGUCUCAUUGCAAUAAAUAAGGUUUUGAAUCAGCAGUAUAAGUGCAAUUUUUCCACUACAAUUACACAGGUACUUCUAGAGGAAGCAGCAAGUGCACGCUUCAUAACAUAGACAGCAAGGAGUUAAUGGGAAUGUUCAGUGCUGCAAAAGGAAGAUCCCCUAAUGCAACAAUUGACUAUAUAUAUUGCAAGUUAAAAACCAAGAAGAAUAGGACUGUGGAUUAUCUUGACAAUCUUGAUGAUUUUUGUAGACAAAAGGUUAUUAAAUGGGCUAUUCAGGCAGCACGAAAAAAUCAAGUAAAAACCCGACUCCAACAUGCAGAAAUUAGAAUUGAGAUUUCUAAAUGACAGACUGAUAAAUGACAAAAAAUAGAUGAAAAAGAAAAAAGACAGUUAGACCAACAGUUAUCUUAACUAACUAUCAGUGAUAUUAUGAAUUUGUUCAAAAACUUGUCUGCUAAGUAAAUUCAUGAUUUAAAUGAUGUCAUGUGUAAAAGAAUUGUUGGGAGAAAUCUCUGUCAUGAAUGGUAUGAUAACAAUUUAACAAUGACAGCCUGGUAUGAUGGCAGAGUAAAAAAAACUUAAAAAAACACAGAACGACAUGAUUUACACUAUUUAAUACUGGACUAAAGAUAAAACUGAUUCUGACGCUGCUGAUUAUUGCAUGAAAAAAUUCCAGCUGGUUGCUGAUGUGUUAUAUGGCGAAUUAAGGUUUUCAUAAUUUCAACAAGUAAUGGAACUUGCUGAAAGGUACAACAAAUAGCGGAGUUUGAAAAUAACAAAGUACUGCAACUAGUGGAACUUGCAAAAAUAUUGUACCGCAAGAAGUGGAACUUGCAAAUAGGUACAGCAAGUUGUCGAACUUGCCAAAAAUGGUACAGCAAGGAGUGAAACUUGCAAAAAAUAUGUACCGCAAAUGGUGUAACUUGCAAUUAGGUACAGCAAGUAGUGUAACUUGCAAAAAUAUUGUACCGCAAGUAGUAGAACUUGCAAAAAAGUACAGCAAGUAGUGCAACUUGUAAAUAGGUGCAGCAAGUAGUGGAACUUGCUUAUAAAUUGUACUGCUAUUAGUGGAACAUAGGCCUCCAUAUUUUCAACCAAUGAAUCAUAGGCCUCCAUAUUUUAAAAUAUGUGGCCAGAUUUUUCAUCGUGUAGGUAAUCUUAUACUGACUGAUAUUGCUUCGUUUUUUACACUUUUACAUUUUGUAUUGUAGUCUAGGUUCUUUGUUAAAUUGCAAUUUAUUGAUGUAAAUAAAUGUUUUAAAUUUUUGAUAAAUAACUUAUAUAUAUAAACUUAAAAAAAGAUAUGGAUUUCAAUUAAUCUUAAGUUAAAAUAUAACCUUUGAUUGGAAAAUAUCGCAGUUUGUAAAAUUCUUUUACAUUUUUUUAUUAUUCAGUUGUAAUAAUAGUAAUAUUACUGGUAAUAUGUUUAAAGAAUACAGUGAAAUUGAAAUAGCUAAUAAUAGGCGAAGAAUUUAUUUCUAUAAAUGCUAAUAUGCAAAAAUAGUUGUUGUCCAAAUAAAAAAGAUAGAACUAGGCAAGAUGAAAUUAGUCGUUGAAAUGUAAGAAAUGUUGCUAGGUAUGCAGAAAACUUACUUGAAUUCAGUGUCAAGCCGUGUCAAUGUCUGUUUAUUUGAUUUUACUUUAAACUCUUUAGAACAAUACCAGGCUUGAAUUUUACUAUUUGUAGUAACAGUUAUUAGUAGUUUUAAAAUUAAAUGAUUUUAUAUAUUUUUUUAUUAUUUCAAACAUAAUUAUGUUCUUUUAUUUAGUUGCCUACUUUUGAAACAUGGUUUUAAAUUUCUAAAUUUAAUGAUAUGAAAUUUUCUCUAUUAAUCAUUAUUAGUCGACAGUUAGAGAGAAGCUGGAACUUCACAUAAUAAAGGCAUUGGAAGGCUUUACUUGACUUUCUUUUUAUGGUACCUGCUGUGUUGUAACAGAUUUUAAAAAGAACUUAACUGAUGUUAA
rnacentral:lncRNA from 1 species